rnacentral:rRNA from 1 species
UACGUAGGGUGCGAGCGUUAAUCGGAAUUACUGGGCGUAAAGGGUGCGCAGGCGGUUAUAUAAGACAGAUGUGAAAUCCCCGGGCUCAACCUGGGAACUGCGUUUGUGACUGUAUGACUAGAGCACGGUAGAGAGGGGUGGAAUUCCUGGUGUAGCAGUGAAAUGCGUAGAUAUCAGGAGGAACAUCGAUGGCGAAGGCAGCCCCUUGGACCUGUACUGACGCUCAUGCACGAAAGCGUGGGGAGCAAACAGG